rnacentral:rRNA from 1 species
CCUGGCUCACGAUGAACGCUAGCUACAGGCUUAACACAUGCAAGUCGAGGGGCUGCAUGGUCUUAGCUUGCUAAGGCCGAUGGCGACCGGCGCACGGGUGAGUAACACGUAUCCAACCUGCCGUCUACUCUUGGACAGCCUUCUGAAAGGAAGAUUAAUACAAGAUGGCAUCAUGAGUCCGCAUGUUCACAUGAUUAAAGGUAUUCCGGUAGACGAUGGGGAUGCGUUCCAUUAGAUAGUAGGCGGGGUAACGGCCCACCUAGUCUUCGAUGGAUAGGGGUUCUGAGAGGAAGGUCCCCCACAUUGGAACUGAGACACGGUCCAAACUCCUACGGGAGGCAGCAGUGAGGAAUAUUGGUCAAUGGGCGAGAGCCUGAACCAGCCAAGUAGCGUGAAGGAUGACUGCCCUAUGGGUUGUAAACUUCUUUUAUAAAGGAAUAAAGUCGGGUAUGCAUACCCGUUUGCAUGUACUUUAUGAAUAAGGAUCGGCUAACUCCGUGCCAGCAGCCGCGGUAAUACGGAGGAUCCGAGCGUUAUCCGGAUUUAUUGGGUUUAAAGGGAGCGUAGAUGGAUGUUUAAGUCAGUUGUGAAAGUUUGCGGCUCAACCGUAAAAUUGCAGUUGAUACUGGAUAUCUUGAGUGCAGUUGAGGCAGGCGGAAUUCGUGGUGUAGCGGUGAAAUGCUUAGAUAUCACGAAGAACUCCGAUUGCGAAGGCAGCCUGCUAAGCUGCAACUGACAUUGAGGCUCGAAAGUGUGGGUAUCAAACAGGAUUAGAUACCCUGGUAGUCCACACGGUAAACGAUGAAUACUCGCUGUUUGCGAUAUACAGCAAGCGGCCAAGCGAAAGCGUUAAGUAUUCCACCUGGGGAGUACGCCGGCAACGGUGAAACUCAAAGGAAUUGACGGGGGCCCGCACAAGCGGAGGAACAUGUGGUUUAAUUCGAUGAUACGCGAGGAACCUUACCCGGGCUUAAAUUGCAGAUGAAUUACGGUGAAAGCCGUAAGCCGCAAGGCAUCUGUGAAGGUGCUGCAUGGUUGUCGUCAGCUCGUGCCGUGAGGUGUCGGCUUAAGUGCCAUAACGAGCGCAACCCUUGUUGUCAGUUACUAACAGGUUCCGCUGAGGACUCUGACAAGACUGCCAUCGUAAGAUGUGAGGAAGGUGGGGAUGACGUCAAAUCAGCACGGCCCUUACGUCCGGGGCUACACACGUGUUACAAUGGGGGGUACAGAGGGCCGCUACCACGCGAGUGGAUGCCAAUCCCAAAAACCUCUCUCAGUUCGGACUGGAGUCUGCAACCCGACUCCACGAAGCUGGAUUCGCUAGUAAUCGCGCAUCAGCCACGGCGCGGUGAAUACGUUCCCGGGCCUUGUACACACCGCCC